rnacentral:rRNA from 1 species
UGAUACCCUAUUAUAAAAAUUUAAAUUAAUUUACUAAAAAAUUAAUAGUUAAGUUCUUUAAAUUUAAAAAAUUUGGCGGUAUUUUAGUCUUAUUAGAGGAACCUGUUUAUUAAUUGAUAAUCCACGAUUAAUUUUACUUAUUUUAAUUAAUUCAUAUAUCGCUGUCAUGAAUAUAUUUAAAAAUUUAUUUUCUUUUUUUAUUUUUAUAAUUUAUGUUAAGUCAAGAUGUGGUUUAUAAAUAAGAAUAUAAUGGGUUACAAUAAAUUUAAUUUUUGGAUUUUAAAUGAAAAUUAAAAUGAAAUUGGAUUUAAUAGUAAAUUUAUUUA